rnacentral:rRNA from 1 species
GAUGAACGCUGGCGGCGUGCUUAACACAUGCAAGUCGAACGGAAAGGCCACAGCUUGCUGUGGUACUCGAGUGGCGAACGGGUGAGUAACACGUGGGUGAUCUGCCCUGUACUUCGGGAUAAGCUUGGGAAACUGGGUCUAAUACCGGAUAGGAAUCACAUGUGGGUGUGUGGUUGGAAAGCUUUUGCGGUAUGGGAUGAGCUCGCGGCCUAUCAGCUUGUUGGUGGGGUAAUGGCCUACCAAGGCGUCGACGGGUAGCCGGCGUGAGAGGGUGUACGGCACGUUGGAGCCGGAGACGGGGAGCAGCGUGUGAGGGGGGGCAGCGGGGGGAAAUAGCCUAAAGGGGGGCAGCGCCUGAUGAGGUGACGGCGGGGGGGGAAGGAACGCCUGUGGGUUGAAAACAAUUUCAGGCGGGUACGACGAAAUGGUGACGGUACCGAAAAAAGAAGCACCGGCUAACUUCGUG